rnacentral:lncRNA from 1 species
CCACUACUCUCAUAGGGAGGGAGACUGCAGAUAAAAAUUAUCCAAAAUUUGAAAAUAAGGCCAAAAGAUUACUGCGAGCUCAUUCACAGUCACACUAGAAUGUUGUCGAACUGGCCCACCUGUUGGUCACCUGAUGCUUUAGGGGAAGGGAGCUUUGACUCACUCUUUAAUAUUGAUUAGCAUUCUGACUCUGUAAAGUCAAGUGUUAGCUUUUUAAAAACAUAAGUUGCUGUAGCAAUCCUAAUUCUGGGUACAGAUCCAAAAGAAUUGGAUGCAGGGUUUUGAAGAGAUAUUUGCACUCCCAUGUUCAUAGCAGCAUUAUUCACGAUAGCCAAAAGGCAGAAGGAACCCAAAUGUCCAUCAGUGGAUGAAUGGAUAAACAGAACGUUGUACAUACAUACAAUGGGAAUUAUUCAGCCUUUAAAAAGGAAGGAAAUUCUGACACAUGCUACAACAUGGAUGAACUUUGUGGAAAGCAUGAUAAAAAAAAUAAUUCAACUUCAUCAAAGUACAAUUGACAUAAAAUAUACUUAUUUUACCUGUAUAGUUCAAGAAUUUUUUCACUAAUGUAUACACCACCCCAAUCAAGAUACGAAAUAUUUCCAUCACGCCCAGCGCGUUCUCUCCUGCUCUCUCGCAGUCAACCCGGACCCUCAUCCCAGCAACCACCGAUGGGAUUCUAUCACUAGAGAGCAGCUUUACCAGUUCUCGAACUUCAUGUAAAUGGAAUCAUUUUUUGAAAAUUAUACUUUGAAGAGACAGACAAGUGAAAAAGCAAUUAUGGUCCUGUGACCUAAGUGGAAAUAAGCUUGAAGAACACGGGCGAGUUCCAGCCUUGGGUCAGUGAAGGAUUCGCGGAAGAAUUAAAAGUAUUCCACCACCACCAUCAGAAUCAUUAGAAAGAAUUAACCUGCAAUAGAAAGAGAGGUUCUAUAUGUGGCGGUGGGGGGCACAGGGAUUGGGAGGAGGUGCGAGCGAGGAAGCGAGAACGGGGAAGGGGUCCAGGCGGAAGGAAGAGCUUGAACAAGCCUUGGAGGCAACAGCAAUCCCGUUGGACCCGUUUGGAUUUCUUUGCUUCUGUCCAUUUUAUUACCACCAAACUCAUUUGCUCUCCAAGGUUUCCCCAGUCCAAGCAGGACGAUAUGAAUAUAAGUAAGAUGAUCUACCAGGUCCAGAUCAGUGUUUACCCCUCACGAGACUGUAUAACUCUUUUUUAAAAAUUUUUAAAAUUUAUUUAU